CACGUAGGAUUCAAGCGUUAUCCGAAUUUACUGGGCGUAAAGCGCGUGUAGGCGGUGCGGUAAGUUGGACGUGAAAGCUCCUGGCUCAACUAGGAGAGGUCGUUCAAAACUGCCGUACUAGAGGACGGUAGAGGGAGGUGGAAUUCCCGGUGUAGUGGUGAAAUGCGUAGAUAUCGGGAGGAACACCAGUGGCGAAGGCGGCCUCCUGGGCCGUUCCUGACGCUCAGACGCGAAAGCUAGGGGAGCAAACGGGAUUAGAUACCCCCGUA
rnacentral:rRNA from 1 species